rnacentral:rRNA from 1 species
GACGAACGCUGGCGGCGUGCUUAACACAUGCAAGUCGAACGGAAAGGCCCUGCUUUUGUGGGGUGCUCGAGUGGCGUACGGGUGAGUAACACGUGAGUAACCUGCCCUUGACUUUGGGAUAACUUCAGGAAACUGGGGCUAAUACCGGAUAGGAGCUCCUGCUGCAUGGUGGGGGUUGGAAAGUUUCGGCGGUUGGGGAUGGACUCGCGGCUUAUCAGCUUGUUGGUGGGGUAGUGGCUUACCAAGGCUUUGACGGGUAGCCGGCCUGAGAGGGUGACCGGCCACAUUGGGACUGAGAUACGGCCCAGACUCCUACGGGAGGCAGCAGUGGGGAAUAUUGCACAAUGGGCGGAAGCCUGAUGCAGCAACGCCGCGUGCGGGAUGACGGCCUUCGGGUUGUAAACCGCUUUCGCCUGUGACGAAGCGUGAGUGACGGUAAUGGGUAAAGAAGCACCGGCUAACUACGU